rnacentral:rRNA from 1 species
GCAAGUCGAACGACAUAGUGGCAGACGGGUGAGUAACGCGUGGAAACGUACCUUUCACUACGGAAUAGCUCUUGGAAACGAGUGGUAAUACCGUAUACGCCCUUCGGGGGAAAGAUUUAUCGGUGAAAGAUCGGUCCGCGUUAGAUUAGCUAGUUGGUGAGGUAAGAGCUCACCAAGGCGACGAUCUAUAGCUGGUCUGAGAGGAUGAUCAGCCACACUGGGACUGAGACGCGGCCCAGACUCCUACGGGAGGCAGCAGUGGGGAAUAUUGCACAAUGGGCGAAAGCCUGAUGCAGCCAUGCCGCGUGAAUGAUGAAGGCCUUAGGGUUGUAAAAUUCUUUCGCUAGGGAUGAUAAUGACAGUACCUAGUAAAGAAGCCCCGGCUAACUUCGUGCCAGCAGCCGCGGUAAUACGAAGGGGGCUAGCGUUGUUCGGAAUUACUGGGCGUAAAGCGCACGUAGGCGGGUUAUUAAGUCAGAUGUGAAAUCCCAAGGCUCAACCUUGGAACUGCAUUUGAAACUGAUAGCCUAGAGAUCAGGAGAGGUUAGCGGAAUACCGAGUGUAGAGGUGAAAUUCGUAGAUAUUCGGUGGAACACCAGUGGCGAAGGCGGCUAACUGGACUGAUACUGACGCUGAGGUGCGAAAGUGUGGGGAGCAAACAGGAUUAGAUACCCUGGUAGUUCACACCGUAAACGAUGAGAGCUAGUUGUCUGCAGGCAUGCCUGUAGGUGACGCAGCUAACGCAUUAAGCUCUCCGCCUGGGGAGUACGGCCGCAAGGUUAAAACUCAAAGAAAUUGACGGGGGCCCGCACAAGCGGU